CCAAUGCAUACUUUGUAAUAAUAUUUGUUAGUAUACUGCGUAUAUAUGUUGGAAUUAUGCGCUGAAACCAAUUAACAAACAGUUUGAAAGUGACUUGUUAAAUUUUGCAGAUUACUGACGGGAAUAAGAAACCUACAAUUUUCUGGUUGUUGACGUUUGUCGCUGCUGUGUCCAGUAACAACCCACCCGUCCUGGUCAACUUCAACAGUGUGAUCAUAGUCCCCGAGGACACGGCAAUCGGAAGCAAACUAGCCGAGCUGUGUGUAAACGAUACUGACGGACCGUCGAAGGCUACGUUCAAGACUGAUGGCAAUGAAACCAAACACUUCCUGAGAAUAGAGAACCAAAGCCCAGGAAAUAUGUACUGGUGUGCAAAUAUUAUCCUAACAUCUAAGC